GCGUCGACUAAGCUCAAGGCGUCCUUCGACAAGACGGGAACCUGGUGUGAUUCCAGGACGGUCGCGCCACUGUGAAAGUCAGACCCCGCUGUCGAGCAGAACAGAU
rfam:Mycobacterium abscessus strain PAP053 genome assembly, contig: ERS075544SCcontig000002